rnacentral:rRNA from 1 species
CUAAUACAUGCAAGUCGAGCGAAUGGAUUAAGAGCUUGCUCUUAUGAAGUUAGCGGCGGACGGGUGAGUAACACGUGGGUAACCUGCCCAUAAGACUGGGAUAACUCCGGGAAACCGGGGCUAAUACCGGAUAACAUUUUGAACUGCAUGGUUCGAAAUUGAAAGGCGGCUUCGGCUGUCACUUAUGGAUGGACCCGCGUCGCAUUAGCUAGUUGGUGAGGUAACGGCUCACCAAGGCAACGAUGCGUAGCCGACCUGAGAGGGUGAUCGGCCACACUGGGACUGAGACACGGCCCAGACUCCUACGGGAGGCAGCAGUAGGGAAUCUUCCGCAAUGGACGAAAGUCUGACGGAGCAACGCCGCGUGAGUGAUGAAGGCUUUCGGGUCGUAAAACUCUGUUGUUAGGGAAGAACAAGUGCUAGUUGAAUAAGCUGGCACCUUGACGGUACCUAACCAGAAAGCCACGGCUAACUACGUGCCAGCAGCCGCGGUAAUACGUAGGUGGCAAGCGUUAUCCGGAAUUAUUGGGCGUAAAGCGCGCGCAGGUGGUUUCUUAAGUCUGAUGUGAAAGCCCACGGCUCAACCGUGGAGGGUCAUUGGAAACUGGGAGACUUGAGUGCAGAAGAGGAAAGUGGAAUUCCAUGUGUAGCGGUGAAAUGCGUAGAGAUAUGGAGGAACACCAGUGGCGAAGGCGACUUUCUGGUCUGUAACUGACACUGAGGCGCGAAAGCGUGGGGAGCAAACAGGAUUAG